GACGAACGCUGGCGGCGUGCUUAACACAUGCAAGUCGAGCGGUAAGGCCCUUUCGGGGGUACACGAGCGGCGAACGGGUGAGUAACACGUGGGUGACCUGCCUCUAGCUCUGGGAUAAGCCUGGGAAGCUGGGUCUAAUACCGGAUAUGACCUCGCGGUGCAUGUUGCGGGGUGGAAAGCCUUGUGCGGCUAGGGAUGGGCCCGCGGCCUAUCAGCUUGUUGGUGGGGUGANGGCCUACCAAGGCGACGACGGGUAGCCGGCCUGAGAGGGCGACCGGCCACACUGGGACUGAGACACGGCCCAGACUCCUACGGGAGGCAGCAGUGGGGAAUCUUGCGCAAUGGGCGAAAGCCUGACGCAGCGACGCCGCGUGGGGAUGACGGCCU
rnacentral:rRNA from 1 species